rnacentral:rRNA from 1 species
UACAGAGGGUGCGAGCGUUGUUCGGAAUUAUUGGGCGUAAAGGGCGCGUAGGCGGCUUGGCAAGUGGAAGGUGAAAUCCCUCGGCUUAACCGAGGAACUGCCUUCCAGACUGUUAGGCUUGAGACCGGGAGAGGUGAGUGGAAUUCCCAGUGUAGCGGUGAAAUGCGUAGAUAUUGGGAGGAACACCAGUGGCGAAGGCGGCUCACUGGACCGGUACUGACGCUGAGGCGCGAAAGCGUGGGGAGCAAACGGG